AUUUGCUCUUACUUCAUCUACCAACACUGUUAGAGAGUUCCAUUGCCUAACAAUGUCAUACCACUGCAAAACCCUCCUCAUUUCUACUACUGCUACCACUUCUACUACUCCAACACUUGCCGUCGCCAAUUACAAUCACAAUAGAAACCCUAAUAAUACCAAACCUGAAAAAAUUACAAAUCUUGUCGUCGCCAAUUGUAAUAAAAUUCAUAGUAAAUGUGAUAAAAAUAUUAAGCCUAAACCUAAACCUAAACCUGCUUUCAACUUCGAUCCUCGGCCAUUUGGUGGAGCAGCAGCAGCUGUACUUUUCUUUGCCCUAAACAUUGGCACUGCCUUCUCCUCUCCAUUGCUUCCUCCUCCCCCCGAAAUUGUUGCUCCGAUUCAAGAUGAGGAUGUUGGUAGCAAUGAUGAAAAUGCUGCUGAAAUAAACCCUAAUUUGAAAAGUGAAUUUGAGAAGUGGAAGUCUAAAACUUAUGCAUUGUCAGUUCCUCUUAAAAUCAUUGCUCUAAGUGGUUCUGUACCCGCUUCUUGGAACAAGGAUUUCAUGGAAUCCCAAGGAAAGAGAUUAAGGCUUCGAUCAAAGGUUGUUGGAAGUAUAGACAAUAUAUUUUCUGAUUUGUUAAUGGUCUUUAAUGAAAACAAACGUAAUAAAGUUGGUCCUUCAUCUGUUGUGGCUGCUGAUAUUGUUAGCAUUGGUGACUCCUGGCUUAGUUUUGCCAUUCAAAAGGCCUUAAUCGAGCCCAUAAGAGGUGUAGAAGACCAGGAUUGGUACAAAGGCUUGAGUGACAAAUGGAAGAUAUACCUGCGCAGGAACUGUGAGGGAAAUAUAGAUCCAAAUGGUGAAGUAUGGGGAGCUCCAUAUAGAUGGGGAACUAUUGUGAUAGCCUACAAGAAAAGCAAAUUUCAGAAGAAUAAAUUGGCUCCGAUAGAGGAUUGGGCAGAUUUGUGGCGGCCUGAGCUCAAAGGAAGGAUUUCUAUGAUUGAUUCACCUAGAGAGGUUCUUGGUGCAGUGUUCAAGUAUAUGGGGGCAUCUUACAACACAAAGAACAUUGAAUCCGAUGUUUCUGGUGGGAAGAAAACAGUCCAACAAAAUCUUGCAUUGCUAGCAAAACAGGUUCGGUUGUUUGACAGCGUGCAUUAUCUGAAAGCAUUUGGAGUAGGAGAUGUAUGGGUGGCUGUUGGGUGGAGUAGUGAUGUUAUUCCUGCUGCCAAGCGCAUGUCUAAUAUUGCAGUUGUGGUCCCCAAGUCUGGAGCUAGCUUAUGGGUUGAUCUCUGGGCAAUCCCUGCUGCCUCCAGAGUUGAAACAGACAAAAUUGGAGGGCGAGUGAGAGGACCAUCUCCAUUAAUCCAUCAGUGGAUAGAAUUCUGCUUGCAAGCUGCCAGAGCAGCGUCUUUUAAGCAGGAGGUGAUAACGGGCGCGACUCCAUCAGCUCUUGAAAAUACUGCAACUGAAGUCCCUAAGGAACUAAGCAGGGGCCGCCCAAGAUUGGACACAAAUCUUAUUGCUGGAGUACCUCCACCUGAAAUCUUGUCUAGGUGCGAGUUCUUGGAGCCAUUAUCGGAUGCUCAGUUGUUAGAUUAUAAGUGGCUGAUUGCCAGUAUGCAGCAGCCUCGCCCUAAUUUGAUCCAUAGACUGCAUCAAUCAAUGAUCCUAUCUUUUCAGCGAUUCAGAGAUGCUGUUGUAUAACUCAGCCUAUCCAUCAUCUGUUCCGUAUAGAGGCGUGCAAAAAUCAAACUGUACUAUAAAAAACAACCAAACCGGCUGGUUCAGCUCGAAAUACUCGCUUAUUGAACAUUUGAUUCAAUUUGGCUAAUACCUGAUGUGUUCGGCCUAAUCUACACAAGGGUAAACUUACUGGUUAUCAUUCUGGAUGUUUCAGAAGCAAAUUAUGAGAUUUAGGUAGUAUAUUUUGUGAACUAAUUGUAACAAUAAAGCAACAUAUCUACUGACAAUGAUGAAGAGCAUGUGUUUGAUCAAGGAUUUUGUGGCUUGAUUUCUUAGAUCGUUCAAGAAUUUUUAGCGAUUGUUCGGGCUUUCGAAGUAAUCUCUUGUAGAUCUACGAUUUGAAAAACUAUUGAUCUAUUUUCUUAGAAUUUCAUUGACAAGAUGAUCAGAAAUACAAACUUUCAAAGGAACAAGCGGGUCGUGUAUGGACGGUCUAUCGGAGUAAAGGGCAUAUCCAAGUCCCGCUCCAACGGAACUCUUGCUUCUCGUGCGUCCAAAAUUUAUGCGGAAUCUAUGGCUAGAUUUGCCGCUCCUUCGAUUUACUUAGCUUGUAUGAUAGUUUUGUUAGUUUUCUAGAUCUACAAAUUGAAAGAUCAUAUUUUAAUCUUGUGAUAUGACUUUCUUUAUGUAAUUUAAUCUUAA